rnacentral:rRNA from 1 species
GACGAACGCUGGCGGCGUGCUUAACACAUGCAAGUCGAACGGAAAGGCCCUGCUUUUGUGGGGUGCUCGAGUGGCGAACGGGUGAGUAACACGUGAGUAACCUGCCCUUGACUUUGGGAUAACUUCAGGAAACUGGGGCUAAUACCGGAUAGGAGCCCCUGCUGCAUGGUGGGGGUUGGAAAGUUUCGGCGGUUGGGGAUGGACUCGCGGCUUAUCAGCUUGCUGGUGGGGUAGUGGCUUACCAAGGCUUUGACGGGUAGCCGGCCUGAGAGGGUGACCGGCCACAUUGGGACUGAGAUACGGCCCAGACUCCUACGGGAGGCAGCAGUGGGGAAUAUUGCACAAUGGGCGGGAGCCUGAUGCAGCAACGCCGCGUGCGGGAUGACGGCCUUCGGGUUGUAAACCGCUUUCGCCUGUGACGAAGCGUGAGUGACGGUAAUGGGUAAAGAAGCACCGGCUAACUACGUG